GAUGAUUCCGUGUGAGCGGCAGCGGUGAGACGGUAUGUGUGGGGGUUAUCCGACGUUAGUUGGUUGAAAGGGUGCGCGGGCGGCGGCGGAAGUCAUUGGGGAAAACGUGCGGCUUAGCCGUGCAAUUGCAGUUGAUACUGCGUCGCUUGAGUGCACACAGGGAUGUUGGAAUUCAUGGUGUAGCGGUGAAAUGCUUAGAUAUCAUGAAGAACUCCGAUCGCGAAGGCAUAUGUCCGGAGUGCAACUGACGCUGAGGCUCGAAAGUGUGGGUAUCAAACAGGAUUAGAUACCCUUGUAGUC
rnacentral:rRNA from 1 species